rnacentral:rRNA from 1 species
UACGGAGGGGGCAAGCGUUGUUCGGAAUUACUGGGCGUAAAGCGCGCGCAGGCGGUCAUCUACGUCUGGGGUGAAAGCCCGGAGCUCAACUCCGGGAUUGCCUUGGAUACGGGAUGACUUGAGGAUCGGAGAGGCAAGGGGAAUUCCACGUGUAGCGGUGAAAUGCGUAGAUAUCGGGAGGAACACCUGUGGCGAAAGCGGCGCACUGGACCACAACUGACGCUGAGGCGCGAAAGCUAGGGGAGCAAACAGG